AGAUGAUGCACAGUACUGUAUAUACAACAGGUUAAUAAUUGUUUUGUGCUUGCCACCUAGUAAAGCCACUACUCCUCACACACACGCAAGUCAAGAAGGUUUAUGACCAGAAGCUCAAUUCGCCUGGGAUGGCAAACUCUAGCCAACUCUUCUUAAGGCCACUAAAAGAUUGAUCAGCUUACCAGGAGGUGACAGGCAGCGUACAAAGUAUGACCACCAGUACCUUGAUGUUGAGGAAAAGAGACUUUGUAGUUUACAUUGCAAACAUUGAUUAUUAUUAAUUUAUUGUACAUACAUGUAGGCUUAAUUAUAUAAUUAUACUAUACAUUCA